rnacentral:rRNA from 1 species
CCUACGGGUGGCAGCAGUGAGGAAUAUUGGUCAAUGGGCGUAAGCCUGAACCAGCCAAGUCGCGUGAGGGAUGAAGGUUCUAUGGAUCGUAAACCUCUUUUAUAAGGGAAUAAAGUGUGGGACGUGUCCUGUUUUGUAUGUACCUUAUGAAUAAGGAUCGGCUAACUCCGUGCCAGCAGCCGCGGUAAUACGGAGGAUCCGAGCGUUAUCCGGAUUUAUUGGGUUUAAAGGGUGCGUAGGCGGCUUGUUAAGUCAGCGGUGAAAGUUUGUGGCUCAACCAUAAAAUUGCCGUUGAUACUGGGAGGCUUGAGUAUGUUUGAGGCAGGCGGAAUGCGUGGUGUAGCGGUGAAAUGCUUAGAUAUCACGCAGAACCCCGAUUGCGAAGGCAGCCUGCCAAGCCAUGACUGACGCUGAUGCACGAAAGCGUGGGGAUCAAACAGGAUUAGAUACCCGGGUAGUC